GGAAGUAAAAGUCGUAACAAGGUUUCCGUAGGUGAACCUGCGGAAGGAUCAUUAUCGAACAGCAAUCCGAAGGGGGAGAGGGGCGAGCGAAGUCGGGUGGAGCGUAGAGAUCGUAGCUGGCCUUUGGAAACGAAGGCAUGUGCACGUCUAGACCUCUUCCCAGUCCUCGCUCCCUUUCCUUUCGUGAACCUUCGACACCCGUGCACCUCUUGUAGGUCCCCUCUAGGGGGGAUCUAUGUCUUCGUCUACCCCAAUCGUAUGUCUACGAAUGUAUCUAUGACGUCGUCGACCUGGCUGACGCCUCGUGGGCGAUGGAUAAAAGUUAUUACAACUUUCAGCAACGGAUCUCUUGGCUCUCGCAUCGAUGAAGAACGCAGCGAAUUGCGAUAAGUAAUGUGAAUUGCAGAUUUUCAGUGAAUCAUCGAAUCUUUGAACGCACCUUGCGCUCCUUGGUAUUCCGAGGAGCAUGCCUGUUUGAGUGUCAUUUAGUUCUCAACCGUGACUCGAUCGAUUUCGAGGCCCAUGGCUUGGAUUUUGGGGGCUGCUGGCGACCGUAGGGUCUUCGGCUCUCCUUAAAGGCAUUAGCAAAGGCAGGCCAUCCCUGCAUGCACGGCCCUCGACGUGAUAACGAUCGUCGUGGCUGGAGUGCUGGGGCGUGGUCUCACAGUCUAUGCUUCCAAUAUCGCGACUUUCGCUACGGCGGAAGUCCCUCUUCGAAACUUGACCUCAAAUCAGGUAGGACUACCCGCUGAACUUAAGCAUAUCAAUAAGCGGAGGAAAAGAAACUAACAAGGAUUCCCCUAGUAACUGCGAGUGAAGAGGGAACAGCUCAAAUUUCGAAUCUGGCGGUCUCCCGGCCCGUCCCGAGUUGUAAUCUAGAGAAGCGUCUUCCGCGCUGGACCGUGUACAAGUCUCCUGGAAGGGAGCGUCGCAGAGGGUGAGAAUCCCGUCUUUGACACGGACUANCAGCGCUAUGUGAUGCGCUCUCGACGAGUCGAGUUGUUUGGGAAUGCAGCUCUAAUUGGGUGGUAAACUCCAUCUAAAGCUAAAUACAGGCGAGAGACCGAUAGCGAACAAGUACCGUGAGGAAAGAUGAAAAGAACUUUGGAAAGAGAGUUAAACAGUACGUGAAAUUGCUGAAAGGGAAACGCUUGAUGUCAGUCGCGUCGUCCGGGGAUCAACCUUGCCUUUUCGCUCGGNNUAUUUCCUGUCGACGGGUCAGCAUCAGUUUCGAUCGCGUACAAGGCGAGGAACGUGC
rnacentral:rRNA from 1 species